UGAAAUUUUAGAUCCACAAUCCAUCUUCAAUACAGAUUUUGGAAGGACAGUGUGGCCCCGGAUAAUAGGACCUAGAUUGAGGGCAUAGAACGGGCUCCCAUACAACUGAGGUGCAUGCAGCCACAUCAAUUGAAACAAUGUGAGCAAAGGUAAUAUAAGCUGGCAGACAAAUGGGGACAAAAGCAAGCAAUAGAAACAUCCAUGUAGAAAGUGGAACAAAAUUGAUAUGGACAUAUAUGACUACCAUGCUAAUCAGAUAGAAUCCAUAAAGAAAUAUUAGAGGGUUCCAAGUAAAUCAUGUAUUCGGUUAUUUGAAAAUAUACCAAUACAAAAUAGAAGUAUUGAGGAA
rnacentral:lncRNA from 1 species